rnacentral:rRNA from 1 species
GACGAACGCUGGCGGCGUGCUUAACACAUGCAAGUCGAACGGAAAGGCCCUGCUUUUGUGGGGUGCUCGAGUGGCGAACGGGUGAGUAACACGUGAGUAACCUGCCCUUGACUUUGGGAUAACUUCAGGAAACUGGGGCUAAUACCGGAUAGGAGCUCCUGCUGCAUGGUGGGGGUUGGAAAGUUUCGGCGGUUGGGGCUGGUCUCGCGGCUUAUCAGCUUGUUGGGGGGGUAGGGGCUUACCAAGGCUUUGACGGGUAGCCGGCCUGGGAGGGUGACCGGCCACCUGGGGCCUGCGAUACGCCCCAGACUCCUACGGGGCGCAGCGGUGGGGAAUAUUGCACAGUGGGCGGAAGCCUGAUGCAGCAGCGCCGCGUGCGUGAUGACGGCCUACGGGUUGUAAACCGCUUUCGCCUUUGCCGAAGCCUGAGUGACGGUAACGGGUAAAGAAGCACCGGCUAACUACGUG